CACUAAUCCGCUCGCACCAGCCAGGUCCUCCCCGGUAAAUCACUUAGUCUCAGUCAGGUUCUCAAGUUAACAAAGAAAAAUGUAGUUUAGUGCAGACACAAACUUUAACUGCAUUCCAAAUGUUGUUACUCUUUACCUUCUUAGUCUUAUUUUUUCCUGUCUCUAUAACAACAACAAUAAUAAUAAUUUAUUAUUUAUACCCCGCCUAUCUGGCUGGAUUUCCCCAGCCACUCUGGGCAGCUUCCAACAAAACACUAAAAUGCAAUAACCUAUUAAACAUUAAAAGCUUCCCUAAACAGGGCUGCCUUCAGAUGUCUGCUAAAAGUUUGGUAGUUAUUUUUCUCUUUGACAUCUGGUGGGAGGGCGUUCCACAGGGCGGGUGCCGCUACCAAGAAGGCCCUCUCCCUGGUUCCCUGUAACUUGGCUUCUUGCAGCGAGGGAACUGCCAGAAGGCCCUCAGCACUGGUCUUCAGUGUCUGGGCAGAAAGAUGGAGGUGGAGACCCUCCUUCGGGUAUAUCUCUCCUCACACAAGAACCCACUGCCCUAACUGUCUCUCUAUUUCCAACUGCCUGCCAACUGCUUUUCCAACUGCCUUUCCCAAUCAACCAACCCAUUAAAACCAGCCAACUACCCACACCCCAAACCUCGGGCUAAGCCCUUUUAUAAACAGGUAGGCUCCACCUCCGGCUUUCCUAUUGGUCUACAUUUUAACCCUUUCUCUUCCCCCUGUACAGACAUUUUCAAACGAACAGGUAAACGCCGCUGCACCCCAAAAAGGGUUCCUGGCUGGCUGGCUGGUUGUGCAGUGCAGAGCUAGACUGCUUCUGUCUCGGAGGCAGUGCUGCUGCCUGCCGGCUUUUGAGUAUCUGCAUAUAUAUUUUUCUUAGGUCUCAUCUCAAUCCUUCAUUCUGACAAGCAACGAACCCUCCCAGUUCUGUUGAAAAUAUGAACAAUUAUAUGCAGGGCUGGAUUUAGGUUUGAUGAUGCCCUAAACUACUAAAGGUAUAUGCCCAGCUGUCCUUUGUCAACAACAAAUUGUGGCUGUUUAUUGUGUUGAAUAUAUGCUAUAUGGUACAGUGGUGCCUCGCAAGACGAAAUUAAUCUGUUCCGCGAGUCUCUUUGUCUUGCGGUUUUUUCGUGUUGCGAAGCACGGCUAUUGGCGGCUUAGCGGCUUAGCGGCUAUUAACGGCUUAGCGGCUUUAAGAAAAAGGAAACAAACUCGCAAGAACUCGCAAGACAUUUCGUCUUGCGAAGCAAGCCCAUAGGGAAAUUCGUCUUGCGGAACAACUCAAAAAACGCAAAACCCUUUCGUCUAGCGAGUUUUUCGUCUUGCGAGGCAUUCGUCUUGCGGGGCACCACUGUAAUUUAUGGAGCUAAUAGGUAUCUAAAACCAGUGAUAUUUUAGGGAGCAGGUGGGGCCCAUUACUUAAAUCAGGCAUAGGCAAACUCCGUCCUCCAGAUGUUUUGGGACUACAACUCACAUUAUUCCUCGCUAACAGGACCAGUGGUCAGGGAUGAUGGGAGUUGUAGUCCAAAAACAUCUGGAGGGCUGAGUUUGCCAAUGCCUGACUUAAAUCAUAGGAGCCUACACAACACAACACUGUUGCUGUAUGUAGGUUUUAUUUUAUUUGUUCUUUUAUCUGAUAUUUUGGAAAUGUACAUCCAGUUCCCCCCCUCUAAAUUUAUUUGGGCGCCCCCAAGAGAGUGGGGCCCUAAGCUAUAGCUUGUUUAGCUAUAUACAUAAAUCUGGCACUGAUUAUAUGCAUAUGCACACCAGAUUUCCUAAACUAACCAGUGCAUAAACAGAGAGAAACUCUAAAAAAGUGUAUUAAUAUAUUUAUAAUAUAACACUGUAGAAAUAUAGUACAGCCUGGGACUUGAUUCCUUGAUAAGUAUUACACAUAUAUGUAAUUUAUUUGCAUAUAAUUUUGAAUGUAAUUAGUUGAGAGUUUUUUAACUUAAUAACAAGAACCCAGGCAAUGCAGCUCAGACAUAAACAGGCACUCAAUGUGACGACAAACGAAUGUGUGCAAAACUUGAUUGCAUCAGAACCACAAAUUUUCAUGUAUAAAUCCAUUUUAAACCGAUUCCUCCUCCAUCCCUGGCAGCAGAAUGACAGUCGUAGAGAUCUACACCCCCUAUAUCAUGUCUUCCCGUUAUCCAUAUAUUUUAUUAGCACACUUAGGAAACAAUCAUAGCUAUGGGAAACCAGCAUAAUUCAAGCCAUCUUCAGUUAAGAUGGUGUAAAGCUCUUCAUUGUACAGAAUCUGGGUGGCCAGCAAGAGGGGACUGUGCUCAGUGAAUAUAUAUAUAUAUAUAUAUUCAGUGUAUAUAUAUAUAUAUACAGUAGAACCCGAGGUUCUACUGUACAGUGGUGCCUCGCAAGACGAAAUUAAUCCGUUCCGCGAGUGUCUUCGUCUAGCGGUUUUUUUGUCUUGCGAAGCAACCCUAUUAGCAGCUUAAUGGAUUAGCACUAUUAGCGGUUUAGCGGCUAUUAAAGGCUUAUCGGCUUAGCGGAUUAGCUGCUAAAAGGCUAUUAGCGUCUUAGCGGCUUAGAAAAAGGGGGGGGAAGCGAGAAAAAAAAAAUCUCAAGACUCGCAAGACAUUUUCGUCUUGCGAAGCAAGCCCAUAGGGAAGUUCGUCCUGCGAAGCAACUCAAAAGCGGAAAACCCUUUCGUCUAGCGGGUUUUCCGUCUUGCGAGGCAUUCGUCUUGCGGGGCACAACUGUAAUAGCAUUUUAAUAUAUAUAUAUAUAUAUUAAAAUGCUAUUACAGUAGAACCUCGGGUUGCGGAUGUAAUCCAUGAUGGAGGCACAUCUGCAACCCGCAGCAUUCGUAACCUGCAGUGCUGCAUCUGCGUGUUGGGAUUCACAGAAUGCUGUGUGAGAUAGUAAGUCUGCAGGCUUGAGUUUGCUAGCUGCUGCAACUGGCUGAUGCAGUCAGCCUGCAAUACUUUCUAUGGAAGUGCUGGGUCAGAAAGAUUCAGCAGUAACGUGCUGUCAGUUGAUUGGCUGUCAUCGGUUUAAAAGGGUAACAUUCAGUAGUAAGGGGUUGGUGUAGAGGAGUGUGGUCAGAGAGAGAGAGAUAGAAAGGUCUUCCUAUUUGCCUUAAGGUGCAGCCAGGUACUCUGUUUGACUGUAUGAACUGCUCGUGUAUUAGAGCCUGUAGAUAUUUGUAUAUAUAGCUCACAAUAAAUAUACUGCACUGAAGAACCUGGAACUCUGAGCAUUUCUGCUAAAGCGCCGCGGAGAAUUCGCAACACUCCACACGCGCGUGAUGGGAUUUGGCGCUUCUGCGCAUGUGCGAGUGGCGAAACCCGGAAGUAACCCUUUCCGGUACUUCCGGGUUUCCUGCGCUCCGCAACCUGAAAACACAUAACCCGAAGCGUUUGUAACCCGAGGUACCACGGUAUGGCUAUUGAGCAUUUUCCUGCUCUGCGCUAUAUGGAAUCGGAUGGUAACCAACUCUGAAAACCAUAUCUCUUUCAGAACUGAGUUCGGCUUUCAGCUUGAAUAGACGUCAACUAAGGGAUUGGCUCUUCUGGACUGAAUACAGAAAGGACCUGCAACUAAUUAGAAACACUAAUUCCCCCCCCCCCGCUGCCCUCUUGGAAUCCCCUUUUGAGAACAGAGCAUUAGUUUAUAUUUAUUUUAUUUUAUUUUAAGAUUUUUAUUAGUUGCAAACACAUAAAUACAUAAAAUAUACAUAAAUAAAACUAAAAAGAAAAGUAAAGAAUAAAAAAGAGAAAAGAAACAAAACAAAGAAUGAAAAUGAAAUAAUAGAUAACAAACUUCAAAAAAAUAAAUAUUUUCAUAUCAACUUCUACAUAGGGAGUUCAAGCCUUUUUAAAACAGCUUUGGCUUGGCUCCUUUAUUCGCAUCUUGACUUUCCGCUAUCGACGAACAUACUUAGCAAAUCAUUUUUUUCCAGAUAACUGUAUUCGAAUGGUAAAUUGGAGAGACAGUCUGACUGUCAGUGGGAUUUAAUCUAUGCUAAGCCAGGUGAUGUUCUGGAAACCUUCUUUUUCCAUGUAAUUAGUAACGACAGCCCAUUCUCUCCUUGUUCUUUCUUUUGAGUAAUUUCUUAUUAGAUCCAUUAAUUUGGCAAGUUCUAUAUAUUCACUUAAUUUUAAGAGCCAUUCUUCUUUUGUGGGAAUUGUAUUACAUUUCCAUUGUUUCACUGUCAUGAUCCUUGUGGCUAUGAUUGCGUAUAGAAAGACUCUUUUAUUUUCCUUUGGGAUGUCUGUUGUGAAAAUUCCCAAUAAAAAUAAUUCUGGCUUUUAAAAAAUAUUUAUGUUCCACCACAUGUGGAAAAGACUCCCCUCUUUUUGAUUACAUUUUCAGUAUUUGUUACUAAUCUUUUUGUUCAUUUUAGCCAAUUUUGCUGCAGUCAUAUACCACCAGUACAUCAUUUUAAGAAAAUUUUCUUUAAUCAUGUAACAGACUGUGAAUCUGAUAUCAUUUUUCCAGAGGUUAUCCCAUUUUUCUAAUUCUAUAUUAUAUCUCAGGUCUUGUGCCCAUUUUACCAUUACAUCUUUAAGAUGCAAUUUUAAUAAUAAUUUGUACAUUUUAGACAGAUUCUUUUUUGUUAUUUGAGAGAAGUUCUUAGUCUAAAUCAGAGAUUAUUUUCUCAAACCCCUUUUUUCUUUUCUCUUGCUCAAAGAUUCUGUUGAUAAUAUUGCAGCCAACUUAUGCCAAUUUGUUUUAAAGUGUCAUAAUUCUUUAAUCUUAAUUUAUUAUUAUGACAUUCUUCUAAUAAUUUUUUAUAGGUUAGCCAUUUUUUUAGAGCCAGUUAUCUGACCAAAUUUUUGCCAAACUGAGCUGGGGACCUACUGGCUGAGCUAUAGAUCUGUCACAUCCUAACUUGCUCAUCCCAGUGGAUGUCGAACCAGGAUUGUGCCCUUACCUAUAUUGUGACAUCAUCAUAGUUUACAUUUCUCCAUCCUCUCUCCACAUCCAUUGAUUGUCACUACAGUGGACGCUCGGGUUGCGGACAUGAUGUUGGGAUUUUUAACUACGUGCCAUUCUGUGCAGUUUCACACAGCGUCAAUUAAGAGUUGGCCGACAGCCAAGGAUGACUGAGCAGAGAGGAGUUAUCUGCCUGGAGAUAUGAGACCCUGGAAACAGCUUUACCAUUGGCUAAGUUCUCACACAGGCAUAAUGUCUUAUGACCCUUACUGACUGGAGAGUGUGUUGGUCAGUGUGAGUUCUGAGAGUCAUUUGGAGUUUGUUAAGAGAGAGCUAGUAAAGAUCCGUGUGUCUGUUCUCGUAUAUAGUAACUUGUAGAGUCUGCUGUAAAUAAUAAACACAUCUAAGUAACCAAGUUACUAGUAGCAGCGUUUUGCUCCUGCUUCAUCCAUUGUGCCUGCAACUGAUGGUCCUGCCACAGGUCAAAGUUGUGAAACAUCAACACGUGAUCCAUGCAGGAUGCACGUUCGCAACCCGCAGUGGCGCAUCUGCGCACGCGCAGGUUGCGAUUCGGCGCUUCUGUGCAUGCGCGACCCCCGAAACCCAGAAGUAACCCAUUCCGGUACUUCCAGGUUUCGGUAGGUCCGUAACCAAAAAAAAGCAACUUGAAGCGUCUGUAACCCGAGGUAUGACUGUACUGGGUUUUGAAUAAUGCAGGAUAUGAUGGAACCAUAAGUGAUCCUACAAUGAAUGAGAGAAGCUGACAUCCCCUCUGAAUUUUCUAGAGUUCUGUCAGAGUGUAUACCUGUCUAUAACCACUAUGUGAUGGGGCUGGAAAUGGCUGGAGCUUGAAGGUUUAAACACUUAUUAAAUGUCAUCAGUGAGUUAUGUUCUUAUGCAUGUUUCCUAUAUUUCUUCUUUUCUUUUUUUGAAUACUGGAUUUCUUAUUGAUUUUUUGAUUGUUAUCAAGACCAUUCAUUCUGAGGUAAAUAUGUGUUAAAAAUGGAAAGUGGGUUGUUCAAAUUCAGCACUGUAGCAACAACAUAACCUUUAGCUCAACCCAAAUUUCAUUAAAACAUUAAAAGAAGAUAUUUCCUUUCCCCCACAUUAUAUUGUUUUGUGUUCUGCUGCUUGAUUUUCUGUCAGGAGUGCAUGCAGGAGCCAGGCCCUGUGACCAGUAGGACUUUGCAGGACUGGGGCCUUCCUAAGUUUGUUCUGAAGAGGCAAUGUGAGGCUGCACAGGUGAGGCUGAUUGGUAACUCACAGCACCUGGUGGCAAGAACCGGGAAGGGAUAUAAGGUCAGCAUUUCCCUUCAGCUCUUUGCCACAGCAACACAUUCCCUGCCUUGCUGUGUUUGGCUCCUUGAGUCCUUGCUUCUUGAUCCUUGGACCCUUGACUUCGUGACUCCUUGCUUCCUGACCCUUAGACCCUGGCUUCUUGACUCCUGGCUCUCUGACCCUCAGACUCUUGGCUUCUGGACCUGUUCCUACCUCGACCACGUCAUCUUGCCCCCGGUCCCGACGUCCCCAGCUGGGAAUUUGAUCGCCUGUGAACCGGACCGUGACAUUUUCAAUUGUAUGGCCACCAAUGAUUCCAUCCACUUUUUGUCAAUGCCAUUUUACUGCACCUUGUUUUCAUUUUCUACGUUUGUCCAAAGUUUAUAUAUGUUGCCUUCAGCAUCACAGUUGAGAAUAUCAAGAAAUACUGCAAUCCCUUAAAUGUAGUACAAGCCCACACCUUCUGACUCACCAGAACUUCUGACUCACCAAGCCAAAUGCUAUAUGUUGUGACCUGUCAAGUAUGUGACAGCCCUCCCACUGUCUCAAGUGGUGAACUCCACCUCAUGUCCAAAACUACCAAACACAGAAAAUGAUUAAAUAAACUUAGACACAGAUACUCAUGGUGUAGGCAAGUGAGGCUGGGGGACCGGGAAUCCCUGACACCAUAAUGCCUAGCAAUGGUCGGUGGUGGCUAAUGAGCCUGGUGGGACAACUGGGCCGCUAAGUAGAAGCUUAGUCAAGGAGAUCAUCAACAUGAUCAUGAGGAUAUCUAGGGCUGUGUACCCUGUUCUGAUGAAUCCCAAACUGAAGGUCAAUUUUCUGGGAUCCAGGCUUGGGCUGAGAUGGGUUGAGAGAGCCUUGGAGCAACCCAGAUUGGGUUACCCAAUGCAGUCUGGUGUUGUCGGUUUAUGAAGCAGGCUGCAGGGGUCUACUUCAUCAGCAUGUUCCCUACAGAGACCGCGCUGGGGUCUCUGUGCAGACCCCAUCAUGGCUGAAUCCUCUCCUGAGCAGCUGGGAAGGCACUUGGGAAGCAGCACCCAGCAGGAUUGCAUUUUGCAAACAUAUAUAUAUAUAUAUAUAUACAAAAUUAUAAAACAUACCACACAAAUUAUCACAAAUACAUUCUUAUUGGACUUCCAUCAGCACCUCUGAUAAUCCUCCAUCUUAUUCACUUCUUACACAUUUCCUAACUUAAUAUUGCCUUUACAUUUUUAACAUAUCCCAUCUCCUUCUUCUUUUUUGCCAUAUUUCUAAUAUUAUUCCUCACAGAGCUUCUUGCAAACCUACAAACGUCGUCUGGUCAUCGCAAAUACUUUUCAAAUAAUCCAUAAAUUUACUCCAGUCCUCGGUAAACUUCUGGUCCCGCCGGUUUCGGAUCCUUCCCGUUAGUUUAUCAAAUUCCGCAUAUUCCAUUAAUUUCAUCCUCCAUUCUACCAUCGUUGGUAAUUCUCCUUGCUUCCAUUUUUGGGCCAAAAGUAUUCUUGCUGCUGCUACUGCAUAUAGAAAAAGCUUACAUUCCUUUUUAUUUAUAUCGUUUCCAACAAUACCCAAGAGAAAUGCUUCUGGUUUCUUUAUAAAUGUAUAUUUCAGCAUUUUUUUCAAUUCAUUAUAUAUCAUCUCCCAGAAGCAUUUCACCUUUUAACAUUCCCGCCACAUGUGAUAAAAUGUUCCCUCUUUUUCCUAAUUUUGCAAACUUCUAGGUGCUCCUUUGAGAGGGUCUUCCCUGUAGUGAAGGCAGCUGCAAAUGAGCGCUCAGCAAGAGGGAGGGAGGGAGGGAGGGAGGAAAUGCAGUGUAUCCUUCUUGCCCUCCCCCCGCAAAUGUUUAAUUAGGGUUUAGAAACCUUAAUUAAACAUUAGCCCCACCACAAAUUGUUCUGGGGCUGGAUUCAGCGUUUUUGGGUUCCCAGGUUUUGUGUGUGUGUGUGUGUACAACUCUACAUUAUCAACAUUAUCAGCAUCACUAUCAUUAAUGAUGAUGAUGAUGAUGUAACAGUCAUGAUUGUUAUGAAGAUAACACAUUUUUUCAACCACAAGAAUGAAUACAGUUAUUGUGCCAUUGCAAUAAAACACUACAAAAAGUAACAAAACUGCAACAGCAAAACAGUAACUAUCUUCCAUUACCUAGUUAACAAAUGCGCCCUUAGAAAUUUCAUCUGCAGAGCAAUUGCUCCAAAUUUUCUGAAUUUCUCCCCCUCUACUGAAAAAACCAUAAGCUAUACAUUCAAUAUUUGAGCUGUUUUAGUAUAUUGGAGGUGGGGGGGGGGAGAGGCCAGGAAAUGACAUAUAUAACUCCCAGAGAUAUUUUGGCACCUCACAGCAAUAUCAGAUUCACAUCAGAAAUCCAGGAUCUCAGCAUGACAGUUGGUAUCCAAUUUUGUAAUAAAUAUCCAAUCUGUCACUCAAAAAGUAAAUGUGGUUUCUUUUCCCAGUGUUUAAAUUAGUAGCCUGGCCUCUCAUUCUGAGCUCUGGCAGCUGCCAGACUGAAGAAGUUGCUGAGAAGGGAGACAAAUCGGGAGAAUUCUCAGUGGCUCGGCAGGACCUUUUCUAGGAAGAAAGACGGAGAGUUUGCAGUUCUACUUUCAGGAUUCUUGCUGACACAGGUAUGAGCAUCUAAUAGACCAUAGGCUCUGUUUGCCCAUUGUGAGUUUCUAACAGCAUAACUCCCACCCCUAAAGCCUACACUUAUUAUGACCACAUGGGGUGCAUUCAGACAUGGGGGUUAUUGCACUGGUUUUCCCUGUUGGACACAAUUUAUAAUGCUAGUGCUUCUGUCUAGGCUUCUAACAUUACUUUUAAAAAAAAACUUUAUUAAUUUAAAUUGCACAGAUACACAAAGAAUUUACAAAGAGUUUACAAUCUCAUACUGCAAAAAAAAUUAAAGAAAAAAGAAUUAAGAAAAAAGAAAAUGUUUAUUUAAGUUGUUGUUGUUUAGUCGUUUAGUCGUGUCCGACUCUUCGUGACCCCAUGGACCAGAGCAUGCCAGGCACUCCUGUCUUCCACUGUCUCCCGCAGUUUGGUCAGACUCAUGUUUGUAGCUUCAAGAGCACAGUCCAACCAUCUCAUCCUCUGUCAUCCCCUUCUUCUUGUGCCUUCCAUCUUUCCCAACAUCAGGGUCUUUUCCAGGGAGUCUUCUCUUCUCAUGAGGUGGCCAAAGUAUUGGAGCCUCAGCUUCAGGAUCUGUCCUUCCAGUGAGCACUCAGAGCUGAUUUCCUUCAGAAUUGAUGCGUUUGAUCUUCUUGCAGUCCAUGGGACUCUCAAGAGUCUCCUCCAGCACCAUAAUUCAAAAGCAUCAAUUCUUCGGCGAUCAGCCUUCUUUAUGGUCCAGCUCUCACUUCCAUACAUCACUACUGGGAAAACCAUGGCUUUAACUAUACGGACCUUUGUUGGCAAGGUGAUGUCUCUGCUUUUUAAGAUGCUGUCUAGGUUUAUUUAGGUAUUAAGUAUUAAUUAGGAAGAUUAAGGGUUUUUUAUGCACGGUUUCUAAUAUUACUUUUACAGUGGUACCUCAGGUUACAGACGCUUCAGGUUACAGACUCUGCUAACCCAGAAAUAGUACCUCAGGUUAAGAACUUUGCUUCAGGAUGAGAACAGAAAUCGCGUGGCAGCAGCACAGUGGCAGUGGGAGGCCCCAUUAGCUAAAGUGGUACCUCAGGUUAAGAACAAUUUCAGGUUAAGAACUGGCCACCAGAACAAAGUAAGUUCUUAACCCGAGGUACCACUGUAUACUGUGUACUAUGGAAUGGUGGCUUUUUGAUCAGAAUACAGGCUGUGGCCAUUUUAGGUGUUUCCAAUUGACAAACAUUCAUCAACGUCAGGGUCCUUUUGGACCUAGAAGAAGGCAGAAUGGGGGAGGAAUGGGGACAGAGCAUAACAGGGUGUAACGAGUCUUAUGCAUGCUUAUACAUGUUUUGCCGAUGUGCAUGGGGCCAGGAACGGAACCCACACAUGAAAUGGUUGCCACCUAUACCACCAUGUCAUGCAAAAUUCCAUUCCUACUGCUGGGUUUAGCGUUCCCCCAUAAUUCACCCAUUAAAACGGUGGGAAAGAACUGUAUGCUAGCAUACCACACCACAUUUCAUCACAGGAUGUGAGUGUCAUGGAUGCAGAGAAAUGGAGAAUUCCCAAGAGAAGAAGGCUCAGAGCCAGGGGAUUGGUGGUGGGACACUGACGAGUGGUCAGAGGGAGAAGAGAGAGCAGACUGGGGAGGAGGAAGUGUCGGAAGCUGAAGAGCUAAAAUUGUUUAGUGAGCAGGAAGAGGCUGUGCAGAAGAGAGCCAGUGUGGUGUAGUGGUUAAGAGCGGUAGCUUCGUAAUCUGGGGAACCAGGUUCGCGUCUCCGCUCUUCCACAUGCAGCUGCUGGGUGACCUUGGGCUAGUUACACUUCUCUGAAGUCUCUCAGCCCCACUCACCUCACAGAGUGUUUGUUGUGGGGGAGGAAGGGAAAGGAGAAUCUUAGCCGCUUUGAGACUCCUUCGGGUAGUGAUAAAGCGGGAUAUCAAAUCCAAACUCCUCUUCUUCUUCUUCUUCUGUGGCCGAGAGCAGUCCAGAGGCAAAAGUUGGAGAGGAGGAGGGCCAAGAGGCAGAGAUGUGGCAGGCUGUGCCUAAGAAGCAAGAGAGACCUACCCUCCUGCAGUGACCAGUUCCCUUCCCCCUUGGCCUCCCACAGCAUGCAGAGGUAUGAAGAGGGCAGAGCAAAGAUAGAGAAGGUGAAGAAGUCUCGGGUUGCUUGUGAAGAACCCAGGGGAGGAGGAGGAGACUUAGAGAGUGGUGGGAAGGCAGGAACCUUCAGUCCACACAACAACUGUCUCAUUGGGGGCAAGACCUACUGGCAGACCUGAGCUGUUUUUUCCUUUGAAUAAAGAGUUAACUUCAUUGCCAUCUUGCUGACCUGCUCCUGACUCCCACCUUGAUCCUAACAAAUAGUGGGGAAAUUACAGUGCAAAACUCCCAUGAAUUUCUAGGAGGAUAUGAGUUACUGACAUUGCAAUUCAACUUGGGAAGAAGAAUGACUCCUGAAUCACCCCAAUUUGCUCCACUAUUUUGCCACCACAGAAGUGAUGCUGAUGCCUAAUAAACACAGGGUGGUGGUUGUUUUUUAAAAAAUAGUGGUUUAAGAGAUUUUCUGGAGUAAUUUUGCUACAGUUAUUUAAGUUGUAUCCCAACAUUGCUUGAGCUGUUUCACCUGCCAAAGGACUUUCAAUUGGCUUCAACUUCCCCUUUCAGAAAAAAAUGGUGGCAAAAUUAAGUAAAAUCUAUGUUGCAUUGUGCAAAUUUGUUGAGUUUGGAAGGAGAAGAUUGAGCAGAGGGAUAUAAUCUUAUGGAGAAAAUCAACCAUCUCAAUUUGUAACUCUCAAUUGCUGCACAUACAGUUGUUAUUAGGCUUGAAAAAUAAACUUGAGCACCUGAGUUAAAGUGGUGGUAGUGGGGAAGGUUUCCAACUAAAUUAAUUCAUCCUCUG